ACAAGGGUAGCCAGAUUAACUAGGGUCUAAAUGGGAGAGCUGGGGCACGGAUCAUUCACCAAAGAAACCGCAGCGACCUUCCGCCUGGGUGGGGCUUCUCUUCUUUUAACCUCCCGCGAAACUGCUAGUCAGCAGCUCUGUUUCCUGCCAUUGCUCGAGGAGAUCUUCAUGAGUUUCAUAGGAGUAGGAUUGUGCCUUCAAUCCAUCAUCUUUCUAGGGAAGGUCCAUCACUUCCACUCAGCCAUGUGUAAAGACCAGUGUGCUGCCUGGCAUGGAGUAGGGGCUUCCUGUUAUAGAGUUAUGAGUACAUUACAGCCCAGAGUCACAUCUUCCACAGCUGUUUCAGAAAGCAGGCAGAAACAUUCUUCAUGUGGCUGGCUGCCUUUGGAACUGAACAUCAACAAAAGGCAAGCAACAGAAAUGGAGUGUCAGUCAGCACUUCCGAAGACCUAGCUUUUCAGCCAGAGAGGAAACCAGGCCAAGAGGCUUCCAGUCCAGUGUUUAAUUCUCCCUGGCCCCUCUUUGCAUGGGCCUCCUGAGGGGUAGCUCCUCCAAACGCUGCCCUGAGGUUUGACUGAAAUCUGUCAUUUCUUUGGUUGGAAGGUUGGUGUUUCCUUGCAAGGGACCACAAAGCCAUAUUACAUUCAAUGUUAAAUAAACAAAUGUUUGAAUCUGUG
rnacentral:lncRNA from 1 species